rnacentral:rRNA from 1 species
UAAUUGUUGUGAAUAACGGCUCCCCAGGCGGCGGUGGUAGCGACCUGGAAGGGGUUGGCCCCCCUGGACUGAGCCCGGCCCAAAUCCUACGGAGGCAGCAGUAGGAAUCUUCCGCAAUGGACGAAAGUUCUGACGGAGCAACGCCGCUGAGUGAUGAAGGUUUUCGGAUCGUAAAGCUCUGUUGUUAGGAAGAACAAGUGCAAGAGUAACUGCUUGCACUUGACGGUACCUAACCAGAAAGCCACGGCUAACUACGUGCCAGCAGCCGCGGUAAUACGUAGGUGGCAAGCGUUGUCCGGAAUUAUUGGGCGUAAAGGGCUCGCAGGCGGUUUCUUAAGUCUGAUGUGAAAGCCCCCGGCUCAACCGGGGAGGGUCAUUGGAAACUGGGAAACUUGAGUGCAGAAGAGGAGAGUGGAAUUCCACGUGUAGCGGUGAAAUGCGUAGAGAUGUGGAGGAACACCAGUGGCGAAGGCGACUCUCUGGUCUGUAACUGACGCUGAGGAGCGAAAGCGUGGGGAGCGAACAGGAUUAGAUACCCUGGUAGUCCACGCCGUAAACGAUGAGUGCUAAGUGUUAGGGGGUUUCCGCCCCUUAGUGCUGCAGCUAACGCAUUAAGCACUCCGCCUGGGGAGUACGGUCGCAAGACUGAAACUCAAAGGAAUUGACGGGGGCCCGCACAAGCGGUGGAGCAUGUGGUUUAAUUCGAAGCAACGCGAAGAACCUUACCAGGUCUUGACAUCCUCUGACAACCCUAGAGAUAGGGCUUUCCCUUCGGGGACAGAGUGACAGGUGGUGCAUGGUUGUCGUCAGCUCGUGUCGUGAGAUGUUGGGUUAAGUCCCGCAACGAGCGCAACCCUUGAUCUUAGUUGCCAGCAUUCAGUUGGGCACUCUAAGGUGACUGCCGGUGACAAACCGGAGGAAGGUGGGGAUGACGUCAAAUCAUCAUGCCCCUUAUGACCUGGGCUACACACGUGCUACAAUGGACAGAACAAAGGGCUGCGAGACCGCAAGGUUUAGCCAAUCCCACAAAUCUGUUCUCAGUUCGGAUCGCAGUCUGCAACUCGACUGCGUGAAGCUGGAAUCGCUAGUAAUCGCGGAUCAGCAUGCCGCGGUGAAUACGUUCCCGGGCCUUGUACACACCGCCCGUCACACCACGAGAGUUUGCAACACCCGAAGUCGGUGAGGUAACCUUUAUGGAGA